rnacentral:tRNA from 1 species
CCCUCGAUAGCUCAGUUGGCUGAGCGGAGACUGUAGAUGUUACAACGGUGAUCCUUAGGUCGCUGGUUCAAAUCCGGCUCGAGGGA